rnacentral:rRNA from 1 species
AGAGCGAACGCUGGCGGCAGGCCUAACACAUGCAAGUCGAGCGCCCGUAGCAAUACGGGAGCGGCAGACGGGAUAGUAACACGUGGGAACGCGCCCUUCGGUUCGGAAUAACUCAGGGAAACUUGAGCUAAUACCGGAUACGCCCCUACGGGGAAAGAUUUAUUGCCGAAGGAACGGCCCGCGUCCGAUUAGCUAGUUGGUGAGGUAAUGGCUCACCAAGGCGACGAUCGGUAGCUGGUCUGAGAGGAUGACCAGCAUCACUGGGACUGAGACACGGCCCAGACUCCUACGGGAGGCAGCAGUGGGGAAUAUUGGACAAUGGGCGCAAGCCUGAUCCAGCCAUGCCGCGUGGAUGAUGAAGGCCUUAGGGUUGUAAAGUCCUUUUAACGGGGAAGAUAAUGACGGUACCCGUAGAAUAAGCCCCGGCUAACUUCGCGCCAGCAGCCGC